UCCGCGUUAGUCUAGUGGUUAUGAUCCCGCUCUCUCAGCUUCGAGCGUUCAGCGGUGGCCGGGGUUCGAUUCCCCGACGCGGAA